GCGGCGGGUGCGGGCUGCGUCUCUGUCUCCUGGCGCUCCAGUUUCGUGUCUAAGGGGCCCUUCCUGCAGAGAAUCAGGAAACAGCGCUGAGGCUGCGGCCUCGCCCUCGGCAGCCCGGAGGGGCUCCAGCCCAGCCCUGGUGGACAGUCGCCUGGGAGAAGCCCCGGCUUAGGCUGCAGACACGUCUAACGAGCACACAGCACGGCACACGCGCACACACCACGGGACACAACCCGACAACAGCGGACAAGGAGAGGCCGUACUCGGUCUGGGCCGGUGCAGGCGGAACCGAGGUGUCUGCAGUGGGAGGAGCGAGUGCAGGCGCCUGUCCACUGGCCCCAGCGGCGGGAGCAGGAGAGCCCAGGGCUGCAAAAACAUCCUUUGCAAGGAACAUUCCAGAGGGUCCUGACAUCGGAGCACACGGGCUUCCUGCUGUCCUCCUUUGUUGCACCCAGAAAGACAAACGAAGCCCACCUGCUCUGGAGACAUGGAGGCCUCCCCGGACCAGUGGGCGAGCGAGCGGUCCGGCAGCCCAGGCGCAGGCGCAUGGGGGUUCUGGGACUGGCAGCUCCACCCGACCACCAGACCAUGUCUGAAGCUUUCUGUGCCUGCGGGGAUCACCUGGGUCUACUGGCUGGAGGCAGGAACAGUGGCUGACACUGCCCAGGCCUCGUGGUGCCUCUGCAGGGCACUGGGCCGGGCCCAGUGGCCUACCAGCCCCACAUUCACACCAUACCAGAUGAGGGAAGCCAUGGGUACCCAGGGUGCAGCACCACAGAUGGGCUGUACCUUCUUCCUCAUGCUGUCUGUUCCCAGGGGCUCUGCUCUGACUGCCCCAGGAUCCCGGCUCGGGUACCACAGAGCUUCCUCAGUGCCUGCCCUGCCUCACUGGCCUUACUGCAAACUUCAGGGUGGAGCGCAGCCCAGCACGCCAGAGAUGCCCAAGCAUGCCUGGAUUCCCAGCACCAGGGCACCAGGUCACAGCCGGGCUGAGCUGAAUGUACCUGCCUACGUGUCCCCAGCACCCAGGACAACUCAACUUAAGGAAACGUUCAAAGAAUACUUGUUGAAGAAACGAACAGGGGUCGGUGUGGAGCUGAGAACGCUGACUCCAGACACUUAGACAAGUGCUAUGAGGCGGAGGCAGUAGUCGUGUCUGGUGUCGCCACGGAUGGAGACUGUGGGGCGGGGGGCAGACAUGGGCUUGUGUGAGGAAGAGCUGGCGCACGGGGCUAUGCAAACGGGGGGGAGGCUGCCCUGCUGGGUGGGCCCUGGUUGCUGGAGGGAUUCAGGUGGGGGCUGGACAACGUCUGGCAGGGGGGCUGUAAUGCUGGACCAGGACCCGCACUGGGCAGGGCCUGGGAGGGAGGAUGCCCUCGAGUCCCCCUCAGCCGUGAGAGCGUGCCUCGCACGCCGUGCCAUGCCCCCUCUCGAGGUGUGGACGCCCUAACGCUGAGGCCCUCUGCAGUGUGUACCGAGAAGGACUUAGUAGGUCCCAUGUGUAUUCACUGGUCCUGUGAGUUUCCUUUUCACAAAAAAUACCUUUUAAUUAAAUGUUUUUUCACCUGCAGCAUAAUUCCUGGGGUGAUUUGUUAAAAAUUGAGAUCGUGGGACCCCAGUUCUAUUGAAUCAGAGUUUCAGGGGGCGGCUCAGGAACCAGGAUUCGAUGGCACACUCAGGUGAUCGUCAUGCACGCUAGAGCCUAAGGACCACUGUUUCUAGAUCUUUCCGUCCCUGCGUUACGAUGAGUAACAGCUGUUCCCAUGACUCACCGCUCAUGGGUGAGCUGUGGGGCCUCACCUGGUAACCUUGGCCUAACAGGUCCUGGGCGGAGAGCAAAGCCUCCCCCCCGCCAGGGACCACCCGGCUCACCACAGGCGUCUACCCUGCUGGGGGGAAGCAAGGUGCUCCUCAAACUGAAGGAAGCGUACAUACAGCUUUUACAAAAAGGAGCUGUGAGUCAGGGAAACCCUGGGACAGGCGGAAGGAUGUUCAAGUCAGGCCGGCACCCAUCCCUUCCUGGAGGGCGCUUCCUGCAGGGCCGUCCAGCGUGGGAAGGCGAGGACAGAAGUCAUCUCCUACACCCUACGUAACAUGAAACAGCCUUCCGGGGUCUCUCCUGCGACCUUUCCUGACCCCCGGGCCCAGUGCACCCACACACCAGUAUGCAGGGAGUACUCUCGGGAGCAGUUUCCCCACAGCCUCGGGGUCAGCACGGUCCCGAGCAGGGAGCUGGUCGCCCCACGGUGGAGACCCACGUAUGCCUGCCUCAAACUGGGAGCCCGGGUCUCACGUUUGUUUUCCAAGCGUCCCGGAGGGCUGGAGGCACGGUGCCACGGGAUCUCGGCGCAGAGGAAAUGCCCCUUCCUCCCACAGCUCUCCCGACUGGGGGGCUGGGGCUCUGCUUUGCUCAUAUCCCCCGAACCCACCCGCUUGCUUCACCCUGGAAUCUGCUAAACAGAUGGCUGGUCUCGGGGGCUUUGGGGAGGUGUCCAGCGAAGUGUGCUUAUAAACAGAAUAGGGCCUGCCACUGAGGACCUACCUCAGAUGCGAUCACAAGGCCACUCUGUGUGCCUCUGCCGUCGAGUUUGAAGGGAGCUUGAAAUCAGGAGUGGUGUAUCUGGUGGCCCAGAGGGUGCCCCUGGCCCCCAGUGACCCACCCCCUCCCAAUCUGGGAAGGCACUUUGCUCCCCUGGCUGCUGGGAACUAGGGGAGUCAAGGAGGCGACGACCCGCAGCAGCUCCGGGGAGGCUGAGGGAGAUGUGUAUCUCCUCCCCAGGGAGGAAAGGCACCCCCUUUACCAGACACCACCCCGCAGGCCACGAGUCCGGGUGCACUUAAAUGGCUCCCUACAGCAGUCUAAGUUACCGGGUACGUGUGAGGCGCAGGAACCGACUUCUAGCACUCGGCAGACACGCAGCUAUCAAAGAAGCCAAAGCACGCUGCUGGGUUCACAGGGGCUCUUAUUUCCUUUAAUGGUGCAAAGGCGUGAACUGCAUAAAGGCCUUGCUGGUCAUCUACAUGUUAGCAUUCUUAGAGGAAAACGUGGUCCAAACCUGCUGUGUAAAUACCUCAAACCACGCAGAGAAGCCCUGCGGCAUGUGGUGGGUGGGCAGCACAGGUUGGCACGUGGAUGGGGGGCAGUGGGGGUGGGAUGGGCGGAGGUGGGGGCCUGUGGGGGAAGCUCACUCCUGCAGGAGCUCUAGGGCCGCCCUCUCAGGGACCCCAGUGGGGCAGGGGCUGUGGCCACCAUGAGGAGGCAUUGCGUGGGGGCGGGUGUACGCUAGUGCUGUCCUCAAGGGCACCUCAUCACAAACCAGUCUGCCUGGGCGGGCCCACUGCGGUGACCCCAGAGCUGCUCAGGGGCCAGCUUGGCCCCAGGAUGCGCUGAGGGGACAGGGCCACAUCAGGCCUCCCCACUCAGGGCCAGACCUCCAGACCCCCGUCAGGCACACUGACACCGUCCCUGGCUCACAGGAGGGGCUGGGACCAGUGCGGGGCAGGCCCCGAAGACGGACCCUCUGAGUGAACACAGGAUUCCUGCCCGCCACGGAAUCCUGAGCGUGCUGGGAACCAGGGGACAGUGAUGCGUGUCCUGCACGAGGGCCGGGCUGUCUUCCCCCUACGGGCCUAACAGCUCUCACCAAAGGGCCUGGGGUCCCCGCACACCUCUCCUCAGUGUUCCGACUUACACCCAGGAGCCAGGCCAGCUGCUGCCGGGUGUGAAGGGAGAUCGGGCCCCGUGGGAGACUCGAGGUGGGGCCAGAGGCAGACGGGGCUUGAGCGACAGGCCUUGAGCCUUGGACCGUGGGCACUGGGCCCGCCACACAGGCAGCUCUGCCCCACAGACCACGGUCGUUUGUUCCCAAUGGGAAAAGCUAGUCUUUGAACAUUAAAAAAUAACAACAGAACUGAAAAGUAAAGAAAGAACAAAAAUCAAACUUCAUAAAGAUGAGCUGUGGAGAAUGGCAUGUGAGCACCGCGGAGGGAGGGCUCCUGCCAGUGGGGGGGUCCAUCCCAACACACCCUGUUGUUCCUGAGCGGGAGGACGCCCCCCUCAGCUUUCACACAAGACUGUAGCACACACAUGCCUUCCUCUCUGGGCACACGGGGAGGCAGGCUUCCCGAGGGCACAAAGAACCGGAUGGGUUUUCCAGAGUGUGGACAUGAAACUAAGACCGCUGACCAAUAGGAGGACUGGGGCAUCCGGGGAGUAUGGUGGGCUGAGUCCCAGUUUAUGGAAGUACAGCCUGCGCACUCUGGGGGUAGCUGCCCUGCCCUGGGGUGGAGGUGGCGGUGUGCAACUUGUGCCUGCCUCACAGCCCUUGCGACUGCAGGGGCUGAUGCCAUCAUUGUGGGUCCCUGUUGGACCACAACCCCCCGAGACCUGGGUCUCCAUGCUGAUCCUGUGCGGCGGGGUUUCCCGGACUAGGAGACACACAGCUCGCAAGGCCGACAGUCUGUGCCCUGUUCAGAGGCAGCGUAAGGUGCUGGCUCUCGUCCCAGGGCCAGAGCGCCUCCCAGAACGUCUGGUCAGCUCUGGAAAGUGCCCAGCAGAUCUGCCUUCUUUCACCGUACGGGCAGCAGCAUGACUUCACCUGCCCGCGAUGCCAGCAGGGCGCCGAGGAGAAGCCCUGUGGUUUGCUCCCCGGCCGGGCACUCAGUGCGAGCAAAGCCUGUGCUUGUUGGAGGGCAGGGCGGGGGUACAGCCUGGGGGGGCAUG